rnacentral:rRNA from 1 species
GAUCCUGGCUCAGAUUGAACGCUGGCGGAACGCUUUACACAUGCAAGUCGAACGGUAACGCGGAGAGAAGCUUGCUUCUCUCCGGCGACGAGUGGCGAACGGGUGAGUAAUACAUCGGAACGUGUCCGCUCGGUGGGGGACAACCAGCCGAAAGGUUGCUAAUACCGCAUGAGUUCUACGGAAGAAAGAGGGGGGACCCGCAAGGGCCUCUCGCGAGCGGAGCGGCCGAUGACUGAUUAGCCGGUUUGGUGAGGUAACGG